rnacentral:rRNA from 1 species
UAAAUCCACCGAAUUAAUCGUUGGAUUGCGGGGGAUACUGCUUGGCUAGGGGACGAGAGAGGCAGACGGUAUUUCCGGGGUAGGGGUGAAAUCCUAUAAUCCCGGGAAGACCACCAGUGGCGAAGGCUGUCUGCUAGAACGCGCCCGACGGUGAGGGAUGAAAGCUGGGGGAGCGAACCGGAUUAGAUACCCGGGUAGUCCCAGCUGUAAACGAUGCAGGCUAGGUGUUUGGACGGCCACGUGCCGUUCUAGUGCCGCAGGGAAGCUGUUAAGCCUGCCGCCUGGGGAGUACGAUCGCAAGAUUGAAACUUAAAGGAAUUGGCGGGGGAGCACCACAAGGGGUGAAGCUUGCGGUUUAAUUGGAGUCAACGCCGGAAAUCUCACCGGGAGCGACAGCAGUGUGAAGGCCAGAUUAAAGGUCUUGCCAGACGAGCUGAGAGGAGGUGCAUGGCCGUCGCCAGUUCGUGCCGUGAGGUGUCCUGUUAAGUCAGGCAACGAUCGAGACCCGCAUCCUCUGUUGCAACUAGCCUUGUGCUGGGCACACUGAGGAGACCGCCACUGAUAAAGUGGAGGAAGGAGCGGGCCACGGCAGGUCAGUAUGCCCCGAAUCUCCCGGGCCACACGCGAGCUGCAAUGGCAGGUACAAUGGGUUCCGACCUCGAAAGGGGAAGGCAAUCUCGAAAGCCUGCCGUAGUUGGGAUUGAGGGUUGUAACCCACCCUCAUGAACAUGGAAUCCCUAGUAAUCGCGUGUCACUAGCGCGCGGUGAAUACGUCCCUGCUCCUUGCACACACCCCCCGUA